AGGCACCUUCCAGGUGACGUGUCACUUCUGGACAGGAUGGGUAGCCUUGGCGACCGUGGAGCACACGCCAGUUAUCAAAUGUCAGUACGUCUCCUGUAAAGAGAUUGCACCAAAGACAAAGGUGACACUGAUGGAUUGGCUGUUUCCAUGGCAGUGCUGGAGCCCUGAAGGAAGGCCUUCACACCACAUCAAGCACUGGACAAGGCUUCAGAACAGAGGAGGAACACAAGGUCUCACAAGUUGUAAAAGCCACCCCAGGACUGGAAGCCAGCAAGAACUGAACUUCUGUUUUGGAGAGGAAAAUUAUGAAACAAGAAGUAGAAUUUCAAGGAAUAUAUCAACAUAUUUUCUUCACUUUGGAAAAUAAAUACAUGCACCUAGAAUUGAACUGCAGCUCCAGGAGUCCUAGGCUUCCAAGGUACAUGGACUGUAGUGUGCUCUUGUUCAAGUUCCCAAUUGCUCUUGCUAGAAGUUUCACCUGAUAUGAGAUGAUCCUUCUGGAGCAGAGCAUGGCCUGUGGUGUUGGGUUUUCCAGUGGGUUUGGCUUUUGUUACAGACCUGUGCUUUGUCACAGCACUGCAGAACAGCACAUGCUCAGCAUAGCAGGCUGGGAUUGCCUUGGAUUUUGGCAUGACAAACCUGCCAACCCCUACAGCUGCCCUGUGGAACCACCACCCUCCAUCCUCCACCCAAGCAGACCUGCAGCACUGGUGCCUGUCCUCUGGCCUCAGAUUCAAGCUGUGGAGCCAAAGGGAGGUAAAAGCUAAAUUCAAAAUGCUUCUCUUGUCACUUAACUUGAAAAGAAAUAAUUUUUCUGGGAAUUUAGCCUUUGCCAGACUCUGAAAUGUAUUUGGGAAUAAUACUAUAACCAUAAUAUGCCUGCUGACUGAAGAGAUAUUUAACCUCUAUGGUACUGCUAAAGGUGGAAAUUGCAAAGUGUCAACAAAACUGAACUCUACACUGAUACUCCUAAAACAGCUACUAAAACUGAGGAGCUUUUUUUUUCUUUAAUGCUUCACCACUUUGCAUUUUAAAAACAAUAACAAACAAAAAUAGUUGCCAAACACCAACAAAACAAAAAAGCUAGAGAUUAAAUACAGUUCAAUCCUGCCGUGCAAAGCCAUAAACUCUUUUCCCCAAAGCUUCACUUUUGUUAUAUAAAUUCCCUUCCAGUGACAAGUGUAGCCAGCACCCUUAAUGGUUUAGGUUUGUCUUUCUUUUUAAAGGUGCAAGCUGGUACACAAAUGCAUGUAAAUCCACCUCAAAUUUCAGAGAAGAAAGGCUCCAAGUUUCCAGCCCCUCCUGACAUGCUGAUGCAGUCAAGAGCUUGGCCUUUGAGCUACUGCAGGAGCAGCCUUUUCCUCUUCACAUUUGCCAGUGUACUCCAUAAUGACACCAUGGUAAAUACACCAGAGGUUGGAACAUUGCAUAUAGCUCCAAGUGGUAAUAUGAAUGUGACCACACCAUUUAAUACUAAUUAUCCCAAAGAAAAUGAUUAAUUUUAGCACAGGAUCUCCAGCAGACUUUUUAAUCUUUAUGCUUUACAUAUUAGUAAUUGUGGGGUUUUUUCAAAGAGCUCUUAGAGCUUAAUUUAAAUACAUUAGUGCCAAUUUUGAUCCUUCUAGUAGCUGCAAUAGUUCUGAGGUCUAAUUUCUCACACUUAUGGUAUACACAUGAACAGCUUUUAAACAAUUCAUAUUUGUACGAAAAACAGUGAAGGAAUUCUCCUGACUGGUCCCAGAGAGCAUCAUAGUCAGGUGAGCGCAACAGCAAUAGGUGAGAGACAAGUCAUAGAUCUAUGCUAAAAGAAGCAGCAUUUACACCUUGGCUCCAGAAGAAAAUGCUCUAUGUUGUCCAAUAUUUACAAUUUGACAGAUUACCAGGUCCAUAAUUAAUUGGAAAAGGGACAGGAAAGCAAAGGAGAAUGGAAAAAAGAUCUUGUGGUAUGCAGGUUCUUCCACUUAAAAGUGUUUUUUAAAAAGACUUCCUGAAAGUCUUAGGAAACUGUAUGCUCCCCAUGGCAUGUUAUUCUUCCACAUACCAAACAACAGGAACUUUCUACCCAUUUUUAUUCACAAAAUCUCUUCAGCCUGAAAAUCUAUCAAGGAGCUGCACUGGACUGCACAGGGACUGUACUCUUUGGCAGUAUUUCCUUGUGGAUCCCAAUCAAGCACUUCAUUGUUUUAUCAUGUCAUCAUAGAACAAUUUCUUCCCCCUGCUAAGGCAGUAAAUACAGUUUCCAUUGUACUAUAGUAGAAGUAGUAGAACAUAUGCUCUGAAAGCUGAAGGGGUAAGAAAGAUAAAGAUGAGUCAUUAGUGUCUGGACAGCCUUAGGUCUCACUUGUACAGCACAGCUGCAGUUGGCAAAUUAAAAAUCUUUAUGUUUGCAAAUCACAGUCAGCUAGGUUGGGAAAGACCUUUGUGAUCAUCAAGUCCACCCCAUGACCUGGCACCAUCUUGUCAACUAAACCAGGGCACCGAGUGCCACAUCUAGCCUUUCUUAGACAUCUCCAGCACAGUGACUCCACCGCCUCCCUGGGCCACCCAUCCCAAUGCCCAAUCUCCCUUUCUGUGAAGAAAUUCUUCCUGAUGUCCAGCCUGAACCUUCCUGGUGCAUCUUUAGUCUGUGUGCUUUUGUUCUGUGGCUGGUUGUCUGGGAGCAGAGCCCGACCCUCACUGGACCAACCUCCUUUCAGGGAGCUGUGGGGAGUGAUGGGGUCACCCCUGAGCCCCUUUUUCUCCAGGCGACACAGCUGAGCUGCUCCUCACAGGACUUGCGUUCCAACCCGUCUCCAGCCUUGCUGCCCUUCUCUGGACAUGCUCCAACAUCUCAACGUCCUUCCUAAAGUGAGGGCCCAAAAUUGGACACAGCACUCCAGGUGCUGCCCAACAGGGGAACAAUGACCUCCCUGCUCCUGCUGGACACACCAUUCCUGAUCCAGGCCAGGAGCCAUUGGCUUUCUUGGCCACCUGGCUACACUGCUGGCUCACAUUCAGUCUGCCACAAGUCAGCAUUCCCAGGUCCAUUUCUGCCUGGCUGUUGUCCUGUCACUCUGUCCCCAGCCUGUAGUGCUGUAGGGGUUGUUGUGGUUUGGAUGAACCUCACCUUGCUGGAUUCAGCCCAUCUAUCCAAUCUGCCCAGGUCCCUCUGCAAAUGUAACUGAACAACUCAUACAGGAUAAAAAACAAGUCCUAUAAAAUAAUUUUGUAUCUUUAUUGAUAAUUUAUAUUAUGACUACUAAAUCCCCAGAUCUAUGUGCUUUUCAAAACGGGAAGAAUGAAAAUCUUUUGAAAGAAUUAAUGCCUCUUUCAAUAAUUUCAGAACAAUAAUUUGGGGGGGGGAAAGAAAGGAAAAACAAAAAUCCCAUUUCUUGAUCAUACCAGGUUAGUCCUAACUACAUUAGAGUUUGCAUAAAAUGAGAAGAUGCCCUUUGUUCAGUACCUGCAGAUGGUGUGCAUGCAUCAACACUUGGAAUUAUCCAGCAUUUACUACACAACUUGGGACAAUGCUGAUCAAAUUUUCUGGAGUAAUAAAAGAAAGUCUAGACACCACUAGAGUAAAUUACUUCAUCUAAAAUUAUUUUGCCUACAGCAUGUAUUUUAAUGUUUGUUGAAAGCCAAGUGUAUUUUUGCUGUAUCGUAAAUUAUGUAUAUGGCAGCCUAACUUGUCAUUAAGCCCUUAUUAGUUAUUACUGCAGGAUAAAUUCAAAUGACCAAACUUUUAAAGUAAAAAACUACUUUUAACUUCAUCCUCCUAAAAUUAUCAUCUCUCAGGACCUAGCAGAGAAACUGAAAACAGCA